rnacentral:rRNA from 1 species
AUUCCAGCUCCAAUAGCGUAUAUUAAAGUUGUUGCAGUUAAAACGCUCGUAGUCGGAUUUCGGGGCGGGCCGACCGGUCUGCCGAUGGGUAUGCACUGGCCGGCGCGUCCUUCCACCCGGAGACCGCGCCUACUCUUAACUGAGCGGGCGCGGGAGACGGGUCUUUUACUUUGAAAAAAUCAGAGUGUUUCAAGCAGGCAGUCGCUCUUGCAUGGAUUAGCAUGGGAUAAUGAAAUAGGACAUUGGUUCUAUUUUGAUGGUUUACGGACCGAUGUAAUGAUUAAUAGGAACAGUUGGGGACAUUCAUAUUGCAUGGCUAGAGGUGAAAUUCUUGGAUUCAUGCAAGAUGAACUACUGCGAAAGCAUUUGUCAAAGAUGUUUUCAUUG